rnacentral:snRNA from 1 species
GUAUUUACGUGGAUGGGGUCAAUGGACGAUCAAGAUGGUCCAUGGCCUAGGUUACUACUAGUUUAGUGCCUAAGAUUCACCCAAGUGGUGGAGUCUACAUCAUUUGUGACUCCAUGUAAAAGGGUACUCUCUCUAGUGUU